UACGUAGGGGGCUAGCGUUGUCCGGAAUCAUUGGGCGUAAAGCGCGUGUAGGCGGUCCGGUAAGUCCGCUGUGAAAGUCGAGGGCUCAACCCUCGAAUGCCGGUGGAUACUGUCGGGCUUGAGUACGGGAGAGGCGAGUGGAAUUCCUGGUGUAGCGGUGAAAUGCGCAGAUAUCAGGAGGAACACCGAUUGCGAAGGCAGCUCGCUGGAACGUUACAGACGCUGAGACGCGAAAGCGUGGGGAGCAAACAGG
rnacentral:rRNA from 1 species